rnacentral:rRNA from 1 species
GGGCCCGCACAAGCAGCGGAGCGUGUGGUUUAAUUCGAUGAUACACGAAGAACCUUACCCAGGCUUGACAUGUUGGUAGUAGGGAUCCGAAAGGUGACCGACCCUUCGGGGAGCCUUCACAGGUGCUGCAUGGCUGUCGUCAGCUCGUGUCGUGAGAUGUCCGGUUAAGUCCGGUAACGAGCGCAACCCUCGCUGUGUGUUAUAUGUGUCACACGGGACUGCCGGUAUCAAGCCGGAGGAAGGUGGGGAUGACGUCAAGUCAGCAUGGCCUUUAUGUCUGGGGCUACACACACGCUACAAUGGCCAGUACAAUAGGUUGCAAGACCGCGAGGUGGAGCCAAUCCUUAAAGCUGGUCUCAGUUCGGAUUGCAGGCUGCAACUCGCCUGCAUGAAGUCGGAGUUGCUAGUAACCGCGCGUCAGCCAUAGUGCGGUGAAUACGUUCCCGGGCCUU